UACGUAGGAGGCGAGCGUUGUCCGGAGUUACUGGGCGUAAAGCGCACGCAGGCGGUCUCUUUAGUCGUGUAGGGACAGGGCACAGCUUAACUGUGUCAGGCUUACGGAAACUGGGAGACUUGAGGGCUUCAGAGGGAUGGGGAAUUCCGGUGGAGCGGUGAAAUGCGUAGAGAUCGGAAAGAACACCACGGCGAAAGCACUCUGCUGGGCCGACACUGACACUGAGAGACGAAAGCUAGGGGAGCGAAUGGG
rnacentral:rRNA from 1 species